rnacentral:lncRNA from 1 species
UUUUGCACUCUGUGACUUAAAUUCCGAAGGAACAGUUUCACUGCAAUGAUUGUGGAAUUUGUAGGUUAGUAAGGAAAAAAGUGAUAUUGUUUGUGAAUCUGUAUAUAUAUGAUUGUUCUUUAAUAUAGGCUGAUGACAAAGUGUAAAUGACUACAGAGCUUGUGGUACGAAUUUCUUCCAUUGCGAAAAGUGUGGAACAUGCUCAUUCUUUCAUGGGUCUAUCGUGAAGCAAAUAUAAGCUGAACCCCUUUGACUGGUGUCAUAGGAAGGCAGAUUCUGACGAGAACUUUUGGUUAUGGAAGAUCAUGUAUUGUAUGAUUUUCUAGGGCCUGCAAGAGAUGAAAAUGAAUAACAUGGGAGGCUAUUUUCAGAGCGAUUUAAUAUACUUUUUUUUCACGGAACAAUGUAUUUUUUUUAAAUAGUCUUCUUUUAAGUAAUCAGAUGUACUUACAGUCUCUUUUAUUGUUUUAUAUCACUUUCCGAUUGAUUUUGUUUGAAUUACCAGAUUGGAUCCGUAUGCUCUAAUAAGAUGGGAAAAACAGGGUUUAUCCAAUGGUGAUGAAUGGGUUUUCAAAUACAUCGGGAAAAGAAGAAUAAUUGGGUACCAAAGAAGGUCGGAAUUGUGGCAUGGUGAGUGGAACUGAAUAGGCUCCCGACGUGCGACUCGCCGAGAAGAAGGAUCAUCCCAGUUCAAGACGAGAUGUGUCCGUUAUGUUGGAAAGCCCCUGAAUCUGUAGAACAUGUAUUUAAUUCGUGUCGGUUGGGGUAAGGUGGUUGCGUGUAUCAUGAAUCAUCUUCUCGAGCAGCAUAAGGCGAUAAUCGGAUCAAAGAAGGUUUAAAAAGAUUUUAGUGGGAUCUUGCAAACGGCUUUUUGAUGCCUCUGGAAGAUGAGAAACGCGGCUGUUUUUUAGAACAAACAGGGUACAAUAACAACCAUCAUUGAGGAGGUGAAGGUAAUGAGGUUUUCAUGAGUCAAAUUUUGAGCAUGCGCAAGAGCUUUAACGUGGAAGAUGUGGCGUAGGUUUGAUCUUAGCUGUAUAGGGUGAUGUUUUGUGGUCUGUUUGAUUUUUUAGCUAUUGUUCUUGGUGUAUAUAUGGGGUGUAAGUUUGUAAGUUUGUAAUCUGCAACUUGCAGAUGAUGAAAUAAAAGUUUAGUUGGCCGUUAGAAAAACAUGAUGAACUUUGCAAUGCUUAACUAUGUUUCUAAACUGUUAUCAUUUCAAUAGUUUUCAAUGUUUAAAAGGUGUCAAGCAUAUUUAUCAUUCUUGCAACAGUGGUU